rnacentral:tRNA from 1 species
GCCCGUGUGGCGGAACUGGUAGACGCAGCAGACUCAAAAUCUGCCGGCCGCAAGGUCGUGUCCGUUCGAUUCGGACCACGGGCACCA